UCUUCAUAUACUAGGGAGAAAUAAGUUUUGUAUUUUCGAGUAGUCUUUGUUCAUAAAUCCUCGCUAUUAUCACAAUUAUUCGACUUUCAUACAUGUAAAUAUCUUUUCGCUUGACCUCGAGAAAACAAAUUUGUUUGUUAUUUUUUGCAACAUUUGACAUUAUUUUAUGAUAUGUCAAUAGUAGUUUUAAUUGCUCGAACGUACAUUUGUACUUUUUGUCACACCUGCUUAAGUUGUACAUCGCGGUAAUUUCUUAUUAUUAAAGGCCAUUAACCUGAUUGUCUCUUUAGAUCUCUCUUGAAUUGUUUGUUUUACUGUAUCUUUCCGAAACAGUACAUAAGGUUGUAACUUUUCCACACUAAUUUCCUAAUCAUCGUUAUGCACAAAACAUUUAGCUGAACAAAGUUUGAUAGUUUUU